GCUUUGCGCAUGUCAGACCAGCAUACUACCUCCGAGCAAUGCUCCCAUUCCCUAAAACUCAAGCUAAACCCAGCAGGGCUUCAUCAACAGUCCAGCUUACACUGAUUGGAGUCAACUGACUAUAUCGCUCCACAUCCCUGCCCUGGAUGGAAAUAGUCCAGUGAGACUCAAACCCCGGAAUGGUUUAUGAAGCAAAAAUAAUGCUUUUGCUCCAUAUUUUAUCUCACCAUAUUUUAUCCUAGGCAAACUGCAGAAAUCAGACACCAGUUCAGUUUCAUCCCACUUCACAGGGAAUGGUGUCUCACACAGAAAUACAUGAGUCAUGCAAGGGGGUUCAAAAUGUGAGCCAUGGUCCUGAGUUUACACAGGAAGAGUUGCUUAGCUUCUACUUCAUGGAAGAGCUGCUCAUCUUCCUGAGAAGGAUAUGUUUGAUGCUGAUAGGAACCCACGGGGAAGGAAGUCCUCAGUGUGUACACGUGCACUUUUUUCCUUAUACGCAGUGCACAUCCUAGGUGAUCGGCAUCAACACAGCUACAGCCCUGACAGUGUUUUGUAACAGGACAUCCUCUCUGGCUUUUAUCAGGUCAAGGUGGCUUAACACACUCGAACAUAAUCUCUAAAUUCCUGCUGAAGCAAAGGACAGCAGGAUGACGUUCUGUCCUCUGUAAAAAGUGUGAUCAGGAAGUUAAACCUCUAAAAGCUACACGAACAGCUUGGAUCUGAUGGGUCUGAAUCACAGGGUAAGUACUAUCCCUUAGCAAAGUAACGAAACAUCAAAAUAAUAAAGCUUCAAAACCAUUUUGUUAUAGUUAGCUGAAUUACGUGAGUUUAUUUUAAAAUAGCUAAUGGGCUCACGCCCAUCCCUGUAAGCCGUCUCAGGAGUAUUCAGACCCGUGUAAAAAUGGGGUGUCCCUUGCCAGCGCUUUGCUCUGGGCAAUGAACUUCAGAUUCGCUCCCCAGUCAACCCUCCCAUAACAAGUGGAACCACAUCUCAGCUUGCUUCUUGCUUCUGACUGAAUCACAGCCUCCUUUCUAUUUGAUGGCUAUAGCUGUGUUCUGCCUCUUGCAGGAUCUUUGCAGAGAAUUUCCCCAAGAAGGGGAAAUAAAUCCCACAGGAUUUAUGAUCUGAGAAGGAUAGGUAUCACUGUUCCUGUGCGUCUUUCUGUGCUUGAAUUAAGUCCCUAUACCUCACCGUGGCCUGUGAGGCCUUCCAUGACUUGGGCUGUACCAGCCUGCCAACUUCCUCUACCACUCUCCUUUUUGCCAAGACUCCUCCCAUCACUUUGAUAUCUUUAACAUUCCUUUAUUUAAGCUUGUCUCCACUGCAUGGUAUUCGUGUGUGCGUGUGUGUGUGU
rnacentral:sRNA from 1 species